UCGCCUUCAACAAGGACUUAAUCCACUAAUCUUGAAAGAUUGUUUACAAACAACAUCUAAGAGAAAGAUCUCUUAGUCCUCUCAAGUCUACAGACUACACAGAGUCACUUGAGGAAAAUAAAACAAUAGAUGAAAGCUUAUGUAAUCUAGAGUGCUUCUAAGAUAAGCAAAUAUUACAACAAUAAAAACAAAGUAUUUCACGUACUAAGCAAAAGCUUCGUGAAGAUUGAGAGAAUAAACAGUAUUUUUGUGUGUUGAUGUUUCAGUAAAAAUCUUGUUGUAUAU
rnacentral:lncRNA from 1 species